GGCAAGGGCCCGGGAAGUGGGGCAGAGCUGUCCCUUCAUCCUGGCCCAGAGGUGGGGAGCUGCACGUCGCUGGCCCCUGUACCCUGCCCACAACCUGUGUCUUCACUUUCUGGGGGCCUACCCCACACUUGCAGAUGAAGAAAUCGAGUUUUGGAGGAGGAAAGUAACUUGAUGAAGGUGAGAGGGCCGAAGAGAGCCUGCACUCAAUCCACAAGGCACGCCGAUUCUGCUCCAUGUUUCUUCUCCAGCUCCCUGUGCACAGCCCAUCUGCACUCCGAUCUUCCUGUGAGAAGUGAGGGAGCAAGCAGUGUAGUUCAGGGCUCCUGGAGACUGAGAUGUGGGUGGCGGUUACUCAGACGAAGGCUGAUGCAAACCUAGCAAGCCCUGAAUAAACCGAGGCACCUUUACAGAAUCUUGACGUUACCAUUAUUGUAACUGAGAAAACUUCACCCCAAACCAGGUCCCAACUCUUCUGCUUUCUUCUCUCCCUCCGUUCUGAUAUUCUCUCUCCAUCUUGCUAGUCCUUUCCUUCUCCCUUGUCUGGAUACUCCUCCAAGAAGCCUCCCUGCCUCCACAACAGAACCCACAGUUGGCUUGUUGUCACAGUCUCCUGCAGAAGCAGAUGGACCCCACCCAGGGUUUUGCUUGAUGUCAAGACUGAUGACGCCACACAUGCCAGGAGGGUGAGGCUCUUCUCCAUGGAGAAGAGUUGACACAAUAAAGUCAGCUGAUGGACGAGAUGAGGCUGUGGAUGAUUUGUCACUGGAACCAGGGGACUUCAGACCCUUGUCAUGAACUUUGAGGUUUCUCCUGCAUCUCUUCAGCUCAGAGACCUUUCCAGGGUCCACAUCUCCCAACAUCCCUCCUCCAGCUCUGUCUCCCCCCACCCCCAUCUAUCUGACACUCCUCCACAUUCCUUACCUCGAGCCCUCCCCCACUCCCGGGCGCCCUGCUCCCACUCCACAUUCCCUCAGGAUACUCCCCUGGAGUGGAAAAACCAUCCCUCAUCCCUUUCCUGCUCCCAGCCCUGGGAUCGGACAUGCUGGUCAUUCCUGUUUGGGAUGGCCCAAGAGAUAAUGGCUGGCAUACAGCCCAUCUGUCAUCACAGGAUUCUCAAAGCUGUUUCAGGUAGGACCCCUUGCCCACACUGAGCAUCCACCCUGGCCCCUGCUUUCCUUGGCCCCUGCUGUCUCCCCUUCUCCAGAAACAAGGUGGAGGACCUGGCAGCCAGCCCAAAGGAGAAUAAGACACAGGUGUGGUCAGUAGCUUCCAGUGCUAGCUCUGCCUGCCUCGAGCUGCCUGACCUUGGACAUCCAGGUUUCCUCAUAAGUCAAAUGAAGAUGAUAAUACUGACCUCGCAGGGAGGACAGGAGGAUGAAAUGAGUCUUCACAUGAAACAAUUCAUACACUAUAAUGUUCAAGUCCCCCUCCAGGUUCUCAAUCUAAUUCUGUACUCCAGAACUCCUUUUUCUUUUCCUUAGGGAGGGUGCCAAAUUGUACAAGUUUAGGUCCCCCCCCCAAACUUAGACCUGCCCUGAGUAGUGUACAAAUGUUAAUGAUUAGCACAAGUGGUCAAGAAGGACUCUGAGGUCAGAUAAUACAUGAUGAAAAUCCAAGCUGUGUGGUCUUAACCAAGUUGCUUAGCCUUUCUGAGUCUCAGGUUCCUCAUGAAGCAGAUAAUCCUCAAAGAUUAUUGUGAGGUUUGAUCUAAUAAUCCUCGUAAAGUACUUAGCAUAGUUCCUGCUGCAUUAGCACUUUUUCCUUUUUUUUUUUUUUUUAGCAUUUUCUACAUAGUAGUUUUCAUUUUAUUAUUAUAAACUUCCAGAAACAGGGACUCUAAAUCAAACUGCAAGAGAGUGAGGGCUGAGGGCUGAAUUUCUGGGCCAAAAGAAGAAAGUUCCUUCAGCCUGGAGAAAACAAUGUUCAGGGGAAGUGGGUCUUUGUACUUGCAAUAUGAAAAAUCUGAGUUAGAUUCAAGAAAGUACAUAGUGACCUCUUGAAGUUCCCUUUCAAUUAGAUUCUUCUGAGGAUGACCGGGCCUUUGGGCCCUGCCCACCUACCUCCACCUAGUGCCACUCACUACACACCUACGGAGGCUGGCGUCCCCGCCCCAUCUCCAAACACUCAGGCUGAGCCCGGGUAGGAGGAGGAGGAGACAUUUGGGAUUCUGCUGUGCCGGGCCCUGAAGGCAGGAGCGGAUGAGAUAUGGGUGCAGUCUGGGCCCAGUUCCCUGGCCACACAGUGCAUUCUAAGGAGAAGGGACUCAUUUACACGCCGGAGGGUGUAUGAGGGAUACCAGAAGGCGGAGCCCUGUGGGGGAAGUGCUGUCUUGCUGCUCAUUACAAUUAGCAACGCUUGGUUAGUACCACUGCUAAAUAUCUGUCGGGCUUUGCCGAGGGAACAUAUCCAGCCCGGGUCAGGGUGGGUGGGUGCGGGCGGGCCAGAGAAGCACAUCUGGACAAGGACAGCGAAGGGCCUGGGUGCGAGGAAGAAGGCCCAGAGACCGCCAACCGCCUCUCAGGGAUUCACAGCGCUGCGGAGGCGAAGCCGGCAUUGCCCCGAGCGGCGCGCAGAUGUGGGCUCCCAGAUGCGCCAACGCCGGGGCUCUCCAGCCGGCCCGCCGAGGUGGCCGCGCCGGGAACGGCCUUGCCAGCAGCAGCAGCGGCCGGAGCCCAGCCUCCAGACAAAUCCCACCCCCGGCCCCGCCCGGCCAAUCCAUCUUGCUCGGGAGGUGACGCUUCCUAGGAGAAGCAAGGGGCGGAGAGGGGAAACCCAAGCCUUUGGGGGCUCCCGACAGGUGUUUGGGGGAGAGGGCGGAGCCUGGUCGGGGAGGAUGAGGAGGGAGGGGCGGUGCUGCCCCUUUAAGAGGCGGUGGCGGAGCCGGGACCUUUUCUCUUUCCCCGGAAGGAAAGCGGAGCCCCGGCUGGGCGCGCAAGGUGGGGAGGUGCGGGGCUGGGCGUGGAGGCGGGGCGCGCGCGGAGAGGACCGCUCCCUCCCGUCUUCCUCGCGAUCCACGGGUCUGCGUUCCCAGAUCCGCCGCGGAGCCCAGGGCGAAGGGGGCGCGGCCGGGACGAGCCGGGGGCAGUGCCCGGGGCGGGGGGGCCGUGACCGGCGGCUGGGCAGGCGGGACGGUAGACCGGCGAGCCUCGGAGAGGAAUCGGGGCGCGCAGACCCUGGGCGGACGUGACACCGACGCGGCUGAGGGCCAGAAACUUCGCAGCGCUGCGGGGCUCCGGGACGCGCCCGCCGGAGCGGUCUCCGCGGUCCCCCGCCGAGCGCGCGGCAGGUGGACGGGU